GGACGAACGCUGGCGGCGUGCUUAACACAUGCAAGUCGAACGGUCCUGUUUUUGAAGCGCUUCGGCGUGGAGGGAGCGGGUUAGUGGCGCACGGGUGAGUAAUGCGCGAGGACCUGCCCGCGGGAGGGGGACAGCAGUUGGAAACGGCUGGUGAUACCCCGUAAGCCGGGAGGUAAAAGGGCGGAGACGCCCGCCUGCGGAUGGACUCGCGUCCUAUCAGCUAGUUGGUGAGGCAACGGCUUACCAAGGCGAUGACGGGUAGGGGACCUGAGAGGGUGGCCCCCCACAAUGGAACUGAAACACGGUCCAUACACCUACGGGCGGCAGCAGUAGGGAAUAUUAGUAAUGGGCGAAAGCCUGAACUAGCAACGCCGCGUGUGCGAAGAAGGCCUUCGGGUCGUAAAGCACUUUUUGAGAGGAUGAGGAAGGACGGUACUCUCAGAAUAAGUCUCGGCUAACUACGUGCCAGCAGCCGCGGUAACACGUAGGAGGCAAACGUUAUCCGGAUUUACUGGGCGUAAAGCGCGUGUAGGUGGUUUGGUAAGUAGGGCGUGAAAGCUCCUGGCUCAACUGGGAGAGGACGUUCUAAACUGCCCNGCUUGAGGAUGGUAGAGGGAGGUGGAAUUCCGGGUGUAGCGNNGGAANNCGCAGAUAUCCGGAGGAACACCAGUGGCGAAGGCGGCCUCNUGGACCACNNNNGACACUCAGACGCGAAAGCUAGGGUAGCAAACGGGAUUAGAGACCCCGGUAGUCCUAGCCCUAAACGAUGUAGACUUGGCGUCGGUGGUUUAAUCGCCAUCGGUGUCGUAGCUAACGCGAUAAGUCUACCGCCUGGGGACUACGGCCGCAAGGUUAAAACUCAUAGGAAUUGACGGGUCCCCGCACAAGCAGCGGAGCGUGUGGUUUAAUUCGAUGCUACACGAAGAACCUUACCUGGGUUUGACAUAGAGGUAGUAGGGAAGCGAAAGCGGACCGACCCUUCGGGGAGCCUCUACAGGUGUUGCAUGGCUGUCGUCAGCUCGUGUCGUGAGAUGUUCGGUUAAGUCCGCUAACGAGCGCAACCCUCGCUGUGUGUUACAAGUGUCACACGGUACUGCCGAUAUUAAGUCGGAGGAAGGUGGGGAUGACGUCAAGUCAGCAUGACCUUUAUAUCCAGGGCUACACACACGCUACAAUGGCCAGUACAAUGGGUUGCCAAGCCGCGAGGCGGAGCCAAUCCUAAAAAGCUGGCCUCAGUUCAGAUUGCAGUCUGCAACUCGACUGCAUGAAGUUGGAGUUGCUAGUAACCGCAGGUCAGCAAUACUGCGGUGAAUACGUUCCCGGGGAU
rnacentral:rRNA from 1 species